CCAAAGGCUCUUUUCAGAGCCCCUCCACCACCUCUGAAAAGAGCUAG
rfam:Erinaceus europaeus unplaced genomic scaffold scaffold00740, whole genome shotgun sequence